UACGGAGGGUGCAAGCGUUAAUCGGAAUUACUGGGCGUAAAGCGCACGCAGGCGGUCUGUCAAGUCGGAUGUGAAAUCCCCGGGCUCAACCUGGGAACUGCAUUCGAAACUGGCAGGCUAGAGUCUUGUAGAGGGGGGUAGAAUUCCAGGUGUAGCGGUGAAAUGCGUAGAGAUCUGGAGGAAUACCGGUGGCGAAGGCGGCAUCCUGGACCAUUACUGACGCUGAGGAGCGAAAGCCAGGGGAGCAAACGGG
rnacentral:rRNA from 1 species